AACUCAUCCUUCUCUUCUAUGAAAAUUCCAUUGUUUCUGCCGAAGCUUUGAUCAGUACUUCUCUUUUGCUUGAUCUCGG
rnacentral:misc_RNA from 1 species